GAUGAACGCUGGCGGCGUGCUUAACACAUGCAAGUCGAACGGUAAGGCCCUUCGGGGUACACGAGUGGCGAACGGGUGAGUAACACGUGGGUGAUCUGCCCUGCACUUCGGGAUAAGCCUGGGAAACUGGGUCUAAUACCGGAUAGGACCAUGCGCCUCACGGUGUGUGGUGGAAAGCUUUUGCGGUGUGGGAUGGGCCCGCGGCCUAUCAGCUUGUUGGUGGGGUAAUGGCCUACCAAGGCGACGACGGGUAGCCGGCCUGAGAGGGUGACCGGCCACACUGGGACUGAGCUACUGCCCAGACUCCUACGGGAGGCAGCAGUGGGGAAUAUUGCACAAUGGGCGCAAGCCUGAUGCAGCGACGCCGCGUGAGGGAUGACGGCCUUCGGGUUGUAAACCUCUUUCAGCACCGACGAAGCGCAAGUGACGGUAGGUGCAGAAGAAGGACCGGCCAACUACGUGCCAGCAGCCGCCGUAA
rnacentral:rRNA from 1 species